rnacentral:rRNA from 1 species
CACGUAGGGGGCAAGCGUUGUUCGGAUUCAUUGGGCGUAAAGGGUGCGUAGGCGGCGCGGUAAGUCGGGUGUGAAAUCUCGGAGCUUAACUCCGAAACUGCAUUCGAUACUGCCGUGCUUGAGGACUGGAGAGGAGACUGGAAUUUACGGUGUAGCGGUGAAAUGCGUAGAUAUCGUAAGGAAGACCAGUGGCGAAGGCGGGUCUCUGGACAGUUCCUGACGCUGAGGCACGAAGGUCAGGGGAGCAAACGGG